AUACCUUUCUUUGCCUUUUGCUAAAAUUAAGUGUAAUAUUUGUUCUUAUCAGUUUAAUAUCUGAUAUGUGGUUUAAUGAGUAUAACGAUAUGGAGGGUCUUAUUGUCCAAAGUCUAC
rnacentral:snRNA from 2 species